UGACUCUUAGGCACUUCUUUGGCCAUGACCUCCUGCUUCUGGUUCUCCUGAUAAAAUGCUGGAGGCUCAGUCCAAGGUAACCAGCAAGAAGUGGGCUCAGGAGGACAGAGCUCUGGCUUCCCAAUUGCAUGUUCGUUCACAGGCUCCUACCUCUGCCAUUGCAGGUUCCUUGACUUUGGCCUUCAGUCCUGACUUAAUUUCUUUGCUUAUGGGUAAAACAAGGAAUUCCUGUCACACUGCCAACAUCACCCCCUUUCUUCUCACCCCAAGGAGAGUGCAGAGAGGAGGCGAGACCAAGCCUGCCCAGAGUUGGAGUCUUGAGACGUGAGAUUCUCCAGCUGGAGCCCUAUAAAUUGGACUGACAAAAGACAGAUUAGCAAGAGAAAUGCAAGCAGCAGUUUAUUAACAUGUGCAUCAUGAUUACACAUGGAAGUACCCAGAGGCAGAAUUAAAGAUUCAAGAUGUACCUACUUCUUCCGGGGACAACAUUCAUGAUUCUUAAAGAUUUCACAAGUGUACCUUCUAAGGGUAAGUGGCUGGAAGUAGUAAGAGGUCAAUGCCAAGUGAAAUCCUCUGGCGUUUUCUUCUGACAACCAGGAGUCUGCAAAGUCAGCCAUAUGAAGAUUCAGAUGAGCAGUCUGUGCUUCCUUUGCCUUAUCUCUCAAGAGCUGAGACCUUAUUUCUAUUCCACCUUGAACAAUUUUGUUUGAGUACAACAUAUUUACUGAUAUGGUCAGCUCAAGUCAUUGUGGAAUGAAUACUUAGAUGCUGCGUUCUUCCAAAAACUGAGCAGAACCUCCCUUCUGUGAACAUUUUCAAUAGGUUGUUUUCAAGGUGAGAAAGUGGGAGGGAGAAGGGGAUGAGCAUUGAAGUAAAUAUUUUUUUCUUCUUCUACUUUUGCUACUGGGAAUGUUCCUAUCCAGGAAGGCAGGUCCCCUUUUAUUUUAUCAGAUGCAGAGGAGUUAUCGUACCUCUGUUACCAAUUCUUUAUCCAUAAUUUAUGUUAGUAACAAGGGACCUGUUGCUAGCAGUUACUGAUGAAAACAAAAGCUGGUGGCUUUCUGGAAGAAGGGGGCGUGUGAUCUCAAGAGAGUUGCAUCAUGGCCAUACUCCUCUAAGUUUCUAAUUUUUUUUCCUUUUUUUUUUUUUUUGAGACAG
rnacentral:lncRNA from 1 species